UGGGGAAUCUUGGGCAAUGGCCGAAAGGCUGACCCAGCGACGCCGCGUGUGGGAGGACGCCCUUCGGGGUGUAAACCACUGUCACCGGGGACGAAUUUCUCAGGGGUGAACAGCCUCUGGGGUUGACGGUACCCGGAGAGGAAGCGCCGGCUAACUCCGUGCCAGCAGCCGCGGUAAGACGGAGGGCGCGAGCGUUGUUCGGAAUCAUUGGGCGUAAAGCGCGCGCAGGCGGGCGUGCAAGUCGGGAGUGAAAUUCCGGGGCUCAACCCCGGCGCUGCUCCCGAAACUGCAGGUCUAGAGACCGGUAGAGGCCGGUGGAAUUCCCGGUGUAGCGGUGGAAUGCGUAGAGAUCGGGAAGAACACCCGUGGCGAAGGCGGCCGGCUGGGCCGGGUCUGACGCUGAGGCGCGAAAGCGUGGGGAGCAAACAG
rnacentral:rRNA from 1 species